UCAAAUCAAAUUUUAUUCGUCACAUGCUUGGUAAACAACAGGAGACAGUAGACUAACAGCGAAAUUCUUCCUUACAGGACCUUCCCAACAAUGCAGAGAGAAAGAAAGUAAAGAAACAAUAGAAAAGUAAAACACAUAAUAAUAAAAGUAAUAAUAAAUACACAAUAAGUAAUGAUAACUUGGCUAUAUACACGGGGUACCAGUACAGAGUCAAAGUGCAGGGGUACGAGGUAAUGGAGGUAGAUAUGUACAUAUAGGUAGGAAUAUAGUGACAUCGUAAACAGAAGGUAAUGGAGGUAGAUAUGUACAUAUAGGUAGGAAUAUAGUGACAUCGUAAACAGAAGGUAAUGGAGGUAGAUAUGUACAUAUAGGUAGGAAUAUAGUGACAUCGUAAACAGAAGGUAAUGGAGGUAGAUAUGUACAUAUAGGUAGGAAUAUAGUGACAUCGUAAACAGAAGGUAAUGGAGGUAGAUAUGUACAUAUAGGUAGGAAUAUAGUGACAUCGUAAACAGAAGGUAAUGGAGGUAGAUAUGUACAUAUAGGUAGGAAUAUAGUGACAUCGUAAACAGAAGGUAAUGGAGGUAGAUAUGUACAUAUAGGUAGGAAUAUAGUGACAUCGUAAACAGAAGGUAAUGGAGGUAGAUAUGUACAUAUAGGUAGGAAUAUAGUGACAUCGUAAACAGAAGGUAAUGGAGGUAGAUAUGUACAUAUAGGUAGGAAUAUAGUGACAUCGUAAACAGAAGGUAAUGGAGGUAGAUAUGUACAUAUAGGUAGGAAUAUAGUGACAUCGUAAACAGAAGGUAAUGGAGGUAGAUAUGUACAUAUAGGUAGGAAUAUAGUGACAUCGUAAACAGAAGGUAAUGGAGGUAGAUAUGUACAUAUAGGUAGGAAUAUAGUGACAUCGUAAACAGAAGGUAAUGGAGGUAGAUAUGUACAUAUAGGUAGGAAUAUAGUGACAUCGUAAACAGAAGGUAAUGGAGGUAGAUAUGUACAUAUAGGUAGGAAUAUAGUGACAUCGUAAACAGAAGGUAAUGGAGGUAGAUAUGUACAUAUAGGUAGGAAUAUAGUGACAUCGUAAACAGAAGGUAAUGGAGGUAGAUAUGUACAUAUAGGUAGGAAUAUAGUGACAUCGUAAACAGAAGGUAAUGGAGGUAGAUAUGUACAUAUAGGUAGGAAUAUAGUGACAUCGUAAACAGAAGGUAAUGGAGGUAGAUAUGUACAUAUAGGUAGGAAUAUAGUGACAUCGUAAACAGAAGGUAAUGGAGGUAGAUAUGUACAUAUAGGUAGGAAUAUAGUGACAUCGUAAACAGAAGGUAAUGGAGGUAGAUAUGUACAUAUAGGUAGGAAUAUAGUGACAUCGUAAACAGAAGGUAAUGGAGGUAGAUAUGUACAUAUAGGUAGGAAUAUAGUGACAUCGUAAACAGAAGGUAAUGGAGGUAGAUAUGUACAUAUAGGUAGGAAUAUAGUGACAUCGUAAACAGAAGGUAAUGGAGGUAGAUAUGUACAUAUAGGUAGGAAUAUAGUGACAUCGUAAACAGAAGGUAAUGGAGGUAGAUAUGUACAUAUAGGUAGGAAUAUAGUGACAUCGUAAACAGAAGGUAAUGGAGGUAGAUAUGUACAUAUAGGUAGGAAUAUAGUGACAUCGUAAACAGAAGGUAAUGGAGGUAGAUAUGUACAUAUAGGUAGGAAUA